rnacentral:lncRNA from 1 species
GCCGUAGGGAGAGAGGAGUGCUGCAGUCGGGAAUUAACGCGUUUGCAAAGCCUGGAGAGUGGCAGUUGGAAGGAGAGACGUGAAAGCACGAGGGGCUGAUGGGAGCAGGUGCGGGGUGGGUCCCUGAGGUGGAGGCUUCCGGAGGACGUGGAUCUGGCGGAGUCACAGCGCUGGAGCACCUGCUGGAAGCACAGGCCAGAAAACAGAAAUCAUCUUCUUGACCUAUCAAGCUGGUGAUUCCAGAAUCAGCCUCAAAAUAAUUGGAAAUGCUAUCAAGG